rnacentral:rRNA from 1 species
UACGUAGGGGCUAGCGUUGUCCGGAAUCAUUGGGCGUAAAGCGCGUGUAGGCGGUCCGGUAAGUCCGCUGUGAAAGUCGAGGGCUCAACCCUCGAAUGCCGGUGGAUACUGUCGGCUUGAGUACGGGAGAGGCGAGUGGAAUUCCUGGUGUAGCGGUGAAAUGCGCAGAUAUCAGGAGGAACACCGAUUGCGAAGGCAGCUCGCUGGAACGUUACUGACGCUGAGACGCGAAAGCGUGGGGAGCAAACAGG